rnacentral:rRNA from 1 species
CCUACUUUCUUCCUCCUUUUUUUCUCUUUCCCCCUUUUGUCCCCCCUGCUGCCGCGACGCCGCGUGGGUGAAGAAGCGCCUCGGCGCGUAAAGCCCUGUCAGCAGGGAAGAAAAUGACGGUACCUGAAGAAGCAGCCCCGGCUAACUACGUGCCAGCAGCCGCGGUAAUACGUAGGGGGCAAGCGUUUUCCGGCUUUACUGGGUGUAACGGGGGCGCAGACGGCGAUGCAAGCCAGGAGUGAAAGCCCGGGGCCCAACCCCGGGACUGCUCUUGGAGCUGCGUGGCUAGAGUGCAGGAGGGGCAGGCGGAAUGCCUGGUGUAGCGGUGAAAUGCGUAGAUAUCAGGAGGAACACCGGUGGCGAAGGCGGCCUGCUGGACUGCAACUGACGUUGAGGCCCGAAAGCGUGGGGAGCAAACAGGAUUAGAUACCCUUGUAGUC